rnacentral:rRNA from 1 species
CGAACGCCUGACGGAGCAAUACCGCGUGAGGGAAGAAGGCUUUUGGGUCGUAAACCUCUUUUGUUAGGGAAGAACACUGACGGUACCCAACGAAUAAGCCUCGGCUAACUCCGUGCCAGCAGCCGCGGUAAGACGGAGGAGGCAAGCGUUAUCCGGAAUUAUUGGGCGUAAAGCGUCCGCAGGUGGUUUUUCAAGUCUGCUGUCAAAGCGCAGGGCUUAACUCUGUAGAGGCAGUGGAAACUGAGAGACUAGAGUUCGGUAGGGGUAGAGGGAAUUCCAGGUGUAGCGGUGAAAUGCGUAGAUAUCUGGAAGAACACCAGUGGCGAAAGCGCUCUACUUGGGCCUGAACUGACACUGAGGGACGAAAGCCAGGUGAGCG